AAAAAAAAAAAGAAAAAGAAAGAAAGAAAAGCACAUUCUCCACCGACUCCUAGGAGCCAGGACACUUGACUUCAAUGCAAAUACUCAACUUUGUAUUUUGCUCUAUCUCUUCCUUGAUCAGACGUGUGAAGAGGAUUUAAGGAAUACAAGUAAUUCACAAGGGGAAAAUUCAGACAAUGAACAACAGCCUUGAACUUUUCCAGGGGGUCCCUUGCUUCAGAGCUCAUCUAACUCAGGAAGAAUGUAAUCAAAAUAUGGAGAGAAUGGUACACACCCAUGAUGUUGAUUCACUUUAAAAGGAGAACAUGACCGUCAAGCAGCAACAUUUGACCAGCUGACUUUCCUCAUAGAAAAGCUACUCAGGAAGGCAAACCACACCACAAGGUUCCUCCACAAGCCAGGGGGAUGAGUGGGCUAAUCUUCCUGGCUCCACCAUGUUUCUGCAGUGGCCCUCUGCUGUCCACAGGAUUAAGGCCCAACUCCUCAGCCUGGCAUCUGAGGCUCCCACAACGUGUCUGGGAGGAACUGACUGGAAGACAUCUGUAAUUCUCAGGAGACACUCCAAGACCUGCCCCACGCAGGACACCCACAACGUUGUCCUCUUGCUGCUCCUCCGUGUAAAUGGGUCUUUGUGAAAUUCCAUUCUUUUGAUCAGACACUAUCACUUCAUCCCCAUCCACCAGGAAAAACUUCGCCCUCAGGGCACUUGGGUGGCUCAGUCAGUUAAGAGGCUGACUCUUGAUCUCAGCUCAGGUCAUGAUCUC